rnacentral:rRNA from 1 species
AACAGGCUUAUCUCCCCCAAGAGUCCACAUCGACGGGGAGGUUUGGCACCUCGAUGUCGGCUCAUCACAUCCUGGGGCUGUAGUAGGUCCCAAGGGUUGGGCUGUUCGCCCAUUAAAGUGGUACGCGAGCUGGGUUCAGAACGUCGUGGGACAGUUCGGUCCCUAUCCGUCGCAGGCGUAGGCAAUUUGAGAAGACCUGUCCUUAGUACGAGAGGACCGGGAUGGACGUACCUCUGGUGUACCAGUUGUUCUGCCAAGGGCAUGGCUGGGUAGCUAUGUACGGAAUGGAUAAGCGCUGAAAGCAUCUAAGCGCGAAGCCAACUUCAAGAUAAGAUUUCCCACCGCAAGGGUAAGACCCCAGAAAGACUAUCUGGUUG